GACGAGCCGUACGAACGUUAUUCGGAAUCACUGGGCUUAAAGGGUGCGUAGGCUGCGCGGAAAGUUGGGUGUGAAAUCCCUCGGCUCAACCGAGGAACUGCGCCCAAAACUGCCGUGCUCGAGGGAGACAGAGGUGAGCGGAACUUAGGGUGGAGCGGUGAAAUGCGUUGAUAUCCUAAGGAACACCGGUGGCGAAAGCGGCUCACUGGGUCUCUUCUGACGCUGAGGCACGAAAGCUAGGGUAGCGAACGGG
rnacentral:rRNA from 1 species